GAAAUGCGAUAAGUAGUGUGAAUUGCAGAAUUCAGUGAAUCAUCGAAUCUUUGAACACACAUUGCGCCCUUUGGUAUUCCUUAGGGCAUGCCUGUUCGAGCGUCAUCUAAACCCUCAAGCCCUGCUUGGUGUUGGGUGCCUGUCCCGCCCCCGUGCGUGGACUCACCUCAAAUCCAUUGGCGGCCCUCGUGCCGGCCCCGAGCGCAGCAGAAACGCGGUCUCGUGGCCCGGCGGAGCGUGCCCCCAGAAGCAACAUUCACCGUUUUGACCUCGGAUCAGGUAGGGAUACCCGCUGAACUUAAGC
rnacentral:misc_RNA from 1 species